rnacentral:rRNA from 1 species
AGAGUUUGAUCCUGGCUCAGGAUGAACGCUAGCGGCAGGCUUAACACAUGCAAGUCGAGGGGCAGCAUAAUGGAUAGCAAUAUCUAUGGUGGCGACCGGCGCACGGGUGCGUAACGCGUAUGCAACCUACCUUUAACAGGGGGAUAACACUGAGAAAUUGGUACUAAUACCCCAUAAUAUCAUAGAAGGCAUCUUUUAUGGUUGAAAAUUCCGAUGGUUAGAGAUGGGCAUGCGUUGUAUUAGCUAGUUGGUGGGGUAACGGCUCACCAAGGCGACGAUACAUAGGGGGACUGAGAGGUUAACCCCCCACACUGGUACUGAGACACGGACCAGACUCCUACGGGAGGCAGCAGUGAGGAAUAUUGGUCAAUGGACGCAAGUCUGAACCAGCCAUGCCGCGUGCAGGAAGACGGCUCUAUGAGUUGUAAACUGCUUUUGUACGAGGGUAAACUCACCUACGUGUAGGUGACUGAAAGUAUCGUACGAAUAAGGAUCGGCUAACUCCGUGCCAGCAGCCGCGGUAAUACGGAGGAUUCAAGCGUUAUCCGGAUUUAUUGGGUUUAAAGGGUGCGUAGGCGGUUUGAUAAGUUAGAGGUGAAAUUUCGGGGCUCAACCCUGAACGUGCCUCUAAUACUGUUGAGCUAGAGAGUAGUUGCGGUAGGCGGAAUGUAUGGUGUAGCGGUGAAAUGCUUAGAGAUCAUACAGAACACCGAUUGCGAAGGCAGCUUACCAAACUAUAUCUGACGUUGAGGCACGAAAGCGUGGGGAGCAAACAGGAUUAGAUACCCUGGUAGUCCACGCAGUAAACGAUGAAUACUAGGUGUCGGGGCCCAUAAGGGCUUCGGUGCCGCAGCAAACGCAAUAAGUAUUCCACCUGGGGAGUACGUUCGCAAGAAUGAAACUCAAAGGAAUUGACGGGGGCCCGCACAAGCGGAGGAACAUGUG